AUACGGAGGGUGCAAGCGUUACUCGGAAUUACUGGGCGUAAAGGACGCGUAGGCGGUUUAGAAAGUCAGAUGUGAAAGCCUAUGGCUUAACCAUAGAACUGCAUUUGAAACUUCCAAACUAGAGUGGGGGAGAGGUCAGUGGAAUGAGUGGUGUAGGGGUAAAAUCCGUAGAGAUCACAAGGAAUACUCAUUGCGAAGGCGACUGACUGGAACUUAACUGACGCUGAGGCGUGAAAGCGUGGGGAGCAAACAGGAUUAGAAACCCCAGUAGUCC
rnacentral:rRNA from 1 species